rnacentral:rRNA from 1 species
GAUGAACGCUGGCGGCGUGCCUAAUCCAUGCAAGUCGAGCGAAUGGAUUAAGAGCUUGCUCUUAUGAAGUUAGCGGCGGACGGGUGAGUAACACGUGGGUAACCUGCCCAUAAGACUGGGAUAACUCCGGGAAACCGGGGCUAAUACCGGAUAACAUUUUGAACCGCAUGGUUCGAAAUUGAAAGGCGGCUUCGGCUGUCACUUAUGGAUGGACCCGCGUCGCAUUGGCUAGUUGGUGGGGUAACGGCUCACCAAGGCAACGAUGCGUAGCCGACCUGAGAGGGUGAUCGGCCACACUGGGACUGAGACACGGCCCAGACUCCUACGGGAGGCAGCAGUAGGGAAUCUUCCGCAAUGGACGAAAGUCUGACGGAGCAACGCCGCGUGAGUGAUGAAGGCUUUCGGGUCGUAAAACUCUGUUGUUAGGGAAGAACAAGUGCUAGUUGAAUAAGCUGGCACCUUGACGGUACCUAACCAGAAAGCCACGGCUAACUACGUGCCAGCCGCCGCCGUAA